rnacentral:rRNA from 1 species
AACGAACGCUGGCGGCGUGCCUAACACAUGCAAGUCGAACGAGAAAGGGGCUUCGGCCCUGAGUAAAGUGGCGCACGGGUGAGUAACACGUAGGUAACCUGCCUCUAAGAUCGGGAUAAC